rnacentral:rRNA from 1 species
UACGGAGGGGACUAGCGUUGUUCGGAAUUACUGGGCGUAAAGCGCACGUAGGCGGAUUUGUAAGUCAGGGGUGAAAUCCCGGGGCUCAACCUCGGAACUGCCUUUGAUACUGCAAAUCUCGAGUCCGGAAGAGGUGAGUGGAAUUCCUAGUGUAGAGGUGAAAUUCGUAGAUAUUAGGAAGAACACCAGUGGCGAAGGCGGCUCACUGGCCCGGUACUGACGCUGAGGUGCGAAAGCGUGGGGAGCAAACAGGG